rnacentral:rRNA from 1 species
GACGAACGCUGGCGGCGUGCUUAACACAUGCAAGUCGAACGGAAAGGCCCUGCUUUUGUGGGGUGCUCGAGUGGCGAACGGGUGAGUAACACGUGAGUAACCUGCCCUUGACUUUGGGAUAACUUCAGGAAACUUGGGCUAAUACCGGAUAGGAGCUCCUGCUGCAUGGUGGGGGUUGGAAAGUUUCGGCGGUUGGGGAUGGAUUCGCGGCUUAUCAGCUUGUUGGUGGGGUAGUGGCUUACCAAGGCUUUGACGGGUAGCCGGCCUGAGAGGGUGACCGGCCACAUUGGGACUGAGAUACGGCCCAGACUCCUACGGGAGGCAGAAGUGGGGAAUAUUGCACAAUGGGCGGAAGCCUGAUGCAGCAACGCCGCGUGCGGGAUGACGGCCUUCGGGUUGUAAACCGCUUUCGCCUGUGACGAAGCGUGAGUGACGGUAAUGGGUAAAGAAGCACCGGCUAACUACGUG